rnacentral:lncRNA from 1 species
AGUAAAGGGGAGACCAGAAUCAGUGAAACAGUGGAGGAAAAGUUAAAUCAUGUUGUUCUUAUCUAAUUCAGAGCACUGCAUAUGCUGCAUGUUCCCCUUGCUGAUGAGAGGAGGACAUACCACCACUUCUCUUGUGAAUAGUGACUAG